rnacentral:rRNA from 1 species
GAUGAACGCUGGCGGCGUGCCUAAUACAUGCAAGUCGAACGCUGGAGAUCUAGCUUGCUAGAUCGAAGGAGUGGCGAACGGGUGAGUAAUACAUAAGCAACCUACCCACGAAGACUGGGAUAAUCUCUGGAAACGGGGACUAAUACCGGAUAGGUAAUCGGAAGGCAUCUUCUGGUUAUUAAAGGUUAAAAACACUGGUGGAUGGGCUUAUGGCGCAUUAGUUAGUUGGUGAGGUAACGGCCCACCAAGACGAUGAUGCGUAGCCGGCCUGAGAGGGUGAACGGCCACAUUGGGACUGAGACACGGCCCAGACUCCUACGGGAGGCAGCAGUAGGGAAUUUUCGGCAAUGGGGGCAACCCUGACCGAGCAACGCCGCGUGAGUGAAGACGGCCUUCGGGUUGUAAAGCUCUGUUGUAAGGGAAGAACGGUAGAUAGAGAAUAUCUAAGUGACGGUACCUUACCAGAAAGCCACGGCUAACUACGUGC